GUGAAUCAUCAAAUUUUUGAACGCAUAUUGCACUCUCUGGUAUUCCGGAGAGUAUGCCUGUUUGAGGGUCAGUUAAAUAAAAAUCGAGGUUUUGCUGCCUUUUUGUGGUGAAGCUUCGGAAUUGGGUUGUCUUUACCUAUCGGUUAAGUGACCUAAAAUUUUUGUAUGAUAUCUGAAAGGUUUUUAAUUUAUUUGGUACGUUUUGUAAUAUCGAAUGUUUAUUUGGUGUUAUUAUCCUUAUGGAU
rnacentral:misc_RNA from 1 species